CGUUUUAUUAAAAAUCAAUAUAUAUAGUAUAUGAAAAUGUUUAUAUUGCUUUGUAAAAGUAAAGUUUAUUUAAUUAUUGUUUUGAUGAAGUUGAUCGAGAAAGGCUAAAUAUAAGUCAGUUUUAUUCCUGUUAUAUGAUUUAUUAUUUUAUUACAUAGUUGUUUACUCUUAGUAUUUAAGUAUUGAGUUUUUUUUUUUUCUUCUAUAGCCAAUUUAGAACAAACAAUCCGUAAGUUAAGUUUGAAUUGUUUAGAUGUUUGGUAAUUAAAAAAUAUUUAUAUGCUAGAUUAGUUUUCGUUAUUAGUUUAAAAAAAUGUUUCAAACUAAAUUUUGCAUUUAGGUGAGUUCACUUAUCAGCUAUGUAAGUUUUGUAAAUGUUAUUAAUUUAGUGCAUAACUUAUUAAUACAUCCCAACUUAAAAAAAUUUAUUAAUUCAAGAUAAGGGUAUUAUAAAAUUAAUGAUGAAACUGAUAUUGAAGCUGCUGACUGUUGCAUGAAAAAGAUUUAGCAUGCUGCUGAUGUUGUUUCUGGUGAGUUACAAUUUAAUGAAUUUAAAAACACAAGUGUUGUGACUUGCCUAAAUUAUAUAGCGAGUGUUGUGAUUUGCAUAAAUAAUACAGCUUCUGUUGUGAUAUAGCUUCAUUACUGGAGUUAAUCAUAUUACUCAUUCACUAAAAGCCAAGCCAAAUAUAUUAAACUAUUUUUAAAAUAAUUAUAAUUUUUUUUUUUAAUGUUAACAUUUUAUUUAUUAUUUAUUUUGAAACAGAAAUUUAUUUGUUAACCAAACAGAAUGGCUAGCUCGUUAACCAUACUGUAUGGUCCUUACUCCUGUUAAUGUAAUAAUCACAUGAAAGACUUUAAUAUAGGUAGUUGCUAUACUUGGUUAUAAAGAUGAAAUGUUUUUUACAGCCAAUUGACUUUUAAUUAUAUCUCCACAAUAGUAGUUGUAUAAUUUUUUAAAGUAAUAUAUAUCCAAAUGGUUUGGUUAGAGGCAUUCUAAUGCCCCUUUCCUUAUGAUAUAUUUGGAUAGGCCCUCCCUUAUACUCCACUCUCUUAUGACCAUGGAUGCACCACUAAUGUAUAUUUUAAUCUAGUGGAAUAUAUUUUUUACUUUUUUGUUGUUGUACUUUAAAUAUUCAAUCAGAUUUUUCAAGAAUUAAAAAUGUUUUUGAUAUUAUAGUACUAAAACAUCAUCAACAUAUCUUUUAUGAGUUUUACAUUUAUCUCUCAUAUUUGGUGGUUGCCUGGUUGGGGGAGGAAGGGGGGGUUAUACGCCCCUUCCAUAAUAGAAACACCACUUGUAUACCCUGCUGUCAGGUUAUCCUGCUACUGAUAAUAUUUACUCUAGUACAGCCUGCUUAAUGUUAAUGUCAAGAAGGGCAUCCGGUUGUAAAAAAAAGCUUCAAUUUUUUCAUAAUGGUAUUUAUGUCAUUAUGGAGAACCAUUCGUACCACGCAAGUGUGGAAACACAGAUGUAAAAACUACAAUUAAAA